UAGACAUAUUAUUAUAUUCGACUGUAUUCACGGCGUGAAACAGGGGAUUGCACUGUUUUUAAACGGAAAGUGAAUUAAUUAACAUAAUAGACCCCU
rnacentral:pre_miRNA from 1 species